GGGGCGGGGCAAGGUGCGGAUGACGGCCUCCCGCCUGCCUGCCCGCGCCACCCGCGGAGAGAGGGCGAGAGAGCCACCCGAGAGACAGGGCAGCGGAUAAGAGAAAGGGACGAAAUGCAGUCAGGGAAACCGCAAGUAAGGUGCACAUCUCUUAAGUUUACAGCCUGCUGAAUUUUUUCAUCUGCUCAUAGCCAUGGAGCCACCAUAUUUUCAGAUCCCCAGAAGGUUCUCUCAUGCCCCCUCCCAGAUGAUACCCUUCAAAGCUAAAUGUUGAAAUCUACUCAUCUCCAUACCUGACCCAAUAGUUAAACUUGACUCUAAAGCCAGGUUCUCCUUCUAGGCGGAAGGCAUCAUCUUUCUAAUCCCCAAGGCUCAAAACUCAAGAGUCACCUAAGAUUCCUCUUCUCUCAGUGCCACCAUCCCCGGAGUUGUCCUGUGCUAAUGACAAAAGAUACCUAUCUGAAGGCCAAGCCCGGAUCGCCCAGAGAUGAAGCCCAGGUCUGGGAUGGGGGCAGAAGCUGGGUAGAGAGGACUGGGGCCCUGGAGGAAGAGAGAUGGAUGGACUGAGGAGCUGGAGGGGAGAUGGCCUUGGGUGUGGAUCCCUGGUUGCCCAAGAGUAGACAACCCAGGUUACAUAAUUUGGCUCUUUCCACCUCCUUCCCCUGCUCCUAAUUUUAGCAACCGAAAUUCCACUCCCCCACAUGGCUCUUCCUCUGUCCACUCCACUUCUAUCCCAUCCUCCCACAACCUCCUCAUGGCCCCCAGCUCUAGCUGCCCCCAACUCAGACCGUUCAGUGACUCAGCAAAGGGAAAGCCCUGUGCUGGGGGAAGGGGGUGCUAAGUGGGGGAGGAGGAUGUGGUUCUGGCC